UUCAAUAUGAAUUUUCAUUAGUUAAUUGCAAUAUGAAUUUAGAGAUAGACAUAUAAUAAGUAUUUAUUUACUGCAUUGAAAAUAUAUGCAAAUAUAUAUAGGCCAAAGUUGGGCAAAUGAGAGCACAAACACAAAAUGGUGAAAAAGAUUGCUAUGGCGAGGCAAGAUUGGAAGAAAAAUGUGCACAAGCUGAAACUAGAUAAAAUAUAGAACCAGAAAAGACUACAGCUCAAGCACACACAAUACUCACUUGAUUCUUUCCAAGCAUGAAAUAAAAGACAUGCAUUGAAGACAAACUAUCGUGUCAAUGUCAAAAGCUGCGCAUAAUGUCGGGUCUAAUUGUUUAUGCCUGAUUCAACAACAUUUUAACCUAAUUCUAAAACUACCCUUGCAGAAGAAAGGUUGUUGUCGAACCAGAGAAGAAGAGUUGAUGUUCUUUGUUGGAAACUGAGUAUUUUACGCGAGAAGAAGAACAGUUGAUGUUAAGCUUUUUCUGGGUAUUCUUAUGUUGUGAGUUUUUUCAUAUUUGAUGCACGUGAGAAGAAGAAGAAUAUAAUUUCAUGUUUUAAUCAAUCAGUUUUGUGGUGUAAUGGAGAAAUGGGGAGGUGCAGUAGUAAGCUUGGAAAUAACAUUAAAAUAAUAAACUGAGUUUUUUUUUUUUUUUUGCAAGUUCAAAACCGACACGUGUCCUUGGUAAAGAGACUUUC
rnacentral:lncRNA from 1 species